CGCGUAGGUGGUAGUGUAAGUCUGGGGUGGAAUCCCAGGGCUCAACCCUGGAACUGCCUUGGAAACUGCAUUACUUGAGUCAGUGAGGGGAGGGUAGAAUUCCUGGUGUAGCGGUGAAAUGCGUAGAUAUCAGGAGGAAGGCCUGUGGCGAAGGCGGCCCUCUGGCGCUGGACUGACACUGAGGCGCGAAAGCGUGGGGAGCAAACAGGAUUAGAUACCCUGGUAGUCCACGCCCUAAACGGUGGGCACUAGGUGUAGGGCUCGUAAGGUUCUGUGCCGAAGGGAAACCAUUAAGUGCCCCGCCUGGGAGUACGGCCGCAAGGUUGAA
rnacentral:rRNA from 1 species